ACGCAGCCGGGCACGCGCCGCCGCGAACGUUAGGGGAGUUGGGCGGAGGUUGGGUGGGGAGCUUAGGGGCAGAGGGAGGAAGGAAGAGAGCAACGUCACAUCACAUCACCUCCCUCUUCCCUUCCCCGUGCGCUGCCUCGACUCCCGCCGCUUCCCCCGCGGGAGAAACGCGCAGGGACGGAGGGAACUAGCUGCUCGCGCAACCCCGGGAGGGGGCGGGGCGGGGCGCGGCUGGCGGGGCGCAUGCGCGGAGCGGUAGCUCUAUUCUUGGCCGCUGCGACUGGAAUAUUCUGGAAAUGGCGGCGGCAGCGGAGACGAGGCUGCGGGAGCCUCGGAAGAGGGGGCGGGAGCGGAGCACUUUCGCUCCUGCCUCCCUCCUCCCCCUCAGAAACGGUAACGGAGUCGCCGAGGCGUCCCAGGGAGCCGCUCGUCCGCGCCGCCCCCUCCCCGGGGAGGGGUUUUUCCGGCGGCGAUGGCGCAGUGAGUUUUAACAACUGGCGCAGUGCGCGUGCGCAGGUGGCCACGCUGCAGCCUAUUGCCGGUGGGGGCAGGCGGCGGGGGCGCCCUGGGGCGCGGAGGUGUCAUGCCCCUCAGCGCGGCCGGGUCUUAAAUACGAAAUGAUCCUAUUUCCUGGAAAACUACUGUACACCGAAAAAAAAGAUCUGCUCGAACUCCAAAUCCAGGUCCCUUGGGUGGUUCAGUCAGAGAUGUAAGACCACCAGCUGGUUCACAAGAAAAUCGCUCACUCCUGGAAAGAAAAAGAUCUAUCAGAUUUGUUUUUAAAUAACUACUCAGUAUUGUAACAAUUGUCAUUUAUCCAAAGGAUUAAAGUAGUCUGACUCAAACUUGGGUCUGCUAUUUUUCUAAUUCAA